rnacentral:rRNA from 1 species
GAAGGGCCCGAGCGUUGCGCGGGAAUUAUUGGGGCUUAAAGCGUGCGUAGGCGGACUCGUAAGCACUUUGUGAAAUCCCUCGGGCUCAACCGAGGGAACUGCUUGGUGAACUGCGAGUCUUGAGACAAGUAGGGGCUGUCGGAACGAUAGGUGGAGCGGUGAAAUGCGUUGAUAUCUAUCGGAACGCCAAAGGCGAAGGCAGGCAGCUGGGCUUGUUCUGACGCUCAGGCACGAAAGCGUGGGGAGCGAACGGGAUUAGAUACCCCGGUAGUCCACGCCGUAAACGAUGUGCACUAGGUCGAGGAGGCUCUGACGCUAUUCUCGGCCGAAGCAAAAGUGUUAAGUGCACCGCCUGGGGAGUACGGUCGCAAGGCUA